rnacentral:lncRNA from 1 species
AGAGUAUACCGUACUGUACUAAUUUAAAUAUAGAGGGGGUGGGGGUCUCGGUGUGUAUUUGUAUACAAGUACUUGUUAAUGUGCACAUAUUUAAAAGGUUUUCCUUUUCAACCCUGUAAUCAGUGUACAAUUUUUUGACCGAGAGCAAGAAACACCUACGAGGCCCAAGGCGCGCCAUGGACGAAUGCAGCAAACAAUUCGGCAAAACUAAUCCGCACGUAUUUACCAACAUACCCAGCCAUUAUUGAUUGUGUGAUGAAGUAUACCACCUUGUUUGCGGAAAGCGUUUCAGCUUUGAAUUUACUGUUUCCAUACUGUGUAAACGGGGCCUGUGAUGGUUACUGUUAGUGUACUGCGCUGCAAAAAACCUUUCGAAACAAAUGUACGAUUCAGAAAAGUAUAGUUGCUCUGCGGCCCGGUAUAUAUAAUAUUGUUGUUGUUGUUGUUGUUGUUGUUUUUUGCAAAGCUGCUUUGUAUAGGUAGAGCAGGUUUUUUUUUCCCAGGUCGUGAAACAUCCCAAACGCAGGGAAUAGAGGUAACAGAUGUUUGUUUGUUUUUUGACGAAUGCUCACGAUGAAUCUCAUCCAGCUAUAUGUAAUGAAAUGCGCGGUCUCUCAGCAGAAUACAGAGAAAAGUGCAAAAAUGAAUUUGUACAGAUUCAUUUUUGACUCCGACUUACCACAUAGGAGGUAAUCUUCUGCUUUCUGUUCUUUUUUUUUUAAUUCCGGAAGUCAAGCGGUAUUCUUCCUUUGCUCGUAUUUUGUGCAACUUGUUUAACUUGCGAUUCCCUGUACUUUCCCCUCAGAUAAAGCUGAGGGGAGACGAGGAGUCACCACUUUCGACGCCAGACGACUGAUUCGGUCCAGUACGGCUGUAGCAGCCCAGUUUAAUCCCAGUUCCUACAGACAAUCAGCCGGCGCUCGGCUGCCUUGUCGUCCUGUGCGUUACCUACAGAUACAGGUGUCUAUUGUGCAUGUAAUUAAAAUCAUCCUUAACCGGAACAAUGGGACAGGAGACGGACACAGGAGCGCUGUGGGAAGAGCUCUGGAGCAGCCGAAGACGGAGCACGCCGUUAAGCCCCAGGUAACGGCUGUGGCUGGCUGCACACGAGAGCUCUGCCUCGGCGGACCACACGGCCACCCCGAGGUCCUCAAAUGCAAUGAAAAGCCUUUUAGGACUGGCCUGGAAGAAUACCCACCGCCUGCUUCUAAACAGCGUCUUACUUAUUCAUCCAGCAAGGAACCAACCCCAAACCGCCCAAGUAUUCCGGUGCCAUCUGAGAAAUGAUUUCCACAAUUCACAGUUCACCAAGGUUAGCUUCUGCACCGAAAGACACUGAAUUCCGUGCGACUCGUUUUUAUGCCAAUAAAAUAUUGAACUAAAAGGCUUAGGCUUCCCGUUCUCUACCAAGAAAACAAUUUCCAGCCCAGGGUGGGAAGGUUUUGUACAAAAUACCAGUCUUCGGCUGUAUUUUGUUAAAAGUUCAACUUAUAACUUAUAAAUUUACAAAUCCUAAUUUUUAAAAUUAAUCAUAAACGUUUUCAUUUGCCUUUCCCUGUUAACACUGAUAUUGAAUCUUCACUGAUUACGGACUGCCAUACUCAUAUUUAUACAUACAUAUUUAUUUGCAUAGGUUUAUUUAGAACCCUCUGCUGUAGUGCCAUCAUGAAUCACAAUCUAAUCUGGGGUUCCUGAAUCACAGAAACUCCUUCUUUAUGACAUCCCAGGCUUGUUCCUCCAUCCAACCUCAGCACAGCCCCAGGUAAAUACAUACCAGGCCACUUCACCCCUUCCUGCAACAUGUCAUUUCCAGGAAGUACGUCAUUUCCUGUUUCAGUCACAAGUAGGUGCAUUCUAGGAAAACAAAAUUCCUCCUUGUUUCUACAUGGGUGUGAAAUUCCAAUAUUUUCAGUCAAUAGUAAAAACACCAGAGGCUGUAGGUUUUGCAGCACAUUGUGGAUUCUCCAACAGCCAAGUCCCAAUACUCUGCUCCACAAUAUUCUGCGUUUUUCCUUACCUGUGCUUUAUGUUUUGCAGGCAGAGAAUUAAGAGCAAUGAAAAUCAAAAUGUUAAAAUGUUGUGCUGUUACCCAUGUUUCGGCACACAAGCCCACCUUCUUGAAUCUUAAUCUCUUACAGCCCAGCAUGAUUUUAGUUUUCCUACUGAUUACUGCAGGUCACUGUCACAAAAUAAUUAAGCCUACAUGUCUUUCUUAAAAGACAAAUCUGUACACAAAGUUCCCAAGCAAAGGCCUUAUACUCAACACAGCUAUUUAUCUUCCUUUAAUGCCUGUUAAGCUCUUGGCCUGUCUUAAGUAUUUGGCUGUUCCAGCCUGGCUCUUGACAGGAGUCUCUGCAAUUGUGAUUCAAUUACAUUUCGUAAGCUGGCAACAGCAGUGCUACGUUUAAUCAAUGUAGUUCUUUUAGUCUUCCUAGAUGAGCUGGAGCUAAAAUACUGAACAUAAAGCAACGACACCCUAAAUAACAGAUAGAAUAAGGAGAACAAAGGUAUUACCUGUAUGCACGACCCCAAUGAUGUAUGCAUAUCCCUUAUAUAAGUUUGAAAUAGUAAAUUAGUAGAAUAAACAUUGCAUUCUACCAUGUUUCUACUGCACUCUUCAUUUACUUUGCUUUGCAGUGGUUCCUCUAGUUACCUAUCUGCCCAAUACUUUUUCCAUACAUUUUGCUGUCCUUUUACCACAGUAAAUGUUCAUAAAAGACGCAGUGACUCAAAGAAAAACAGAGCCACUCUUCUUAGUACAGGUGAUAAAACUCUCUUUCUUUAAUGGACUGUGAAAUGAAGAAUGAUUUUGCAGUUUUUUGGGGAAAGUGGAA